UUUCUUCAGAUGUCCUGAACAAUGAAUAUAAAAAUAUAUUUUUUAAAUUGUAAUGAAAUUUACAUUUUGAUUUUGGGGGAGUGAAAUAGAUAAUUUUGUAUAAGCUUAUUGUUUGAAAUAAAAAAAAGAUGAGAUCAUGCAUUUCUUAUUUAAUUCUCUAGAACAAUUGGAUAAAUAAAUAGAUGGUUGUUUUAUUGUUAAGCAGCAAAUAUUUCAUGCAUUUUCAGAAUGAGAGCCUGUUAGUUUGAUGUGAAUGUAUCCAGCUUACCUGUAGUACAAGAACUUCAUGCUAAAGAUAUUUCACAUGCAAGAUCAUAGGGCAAACUUGUCAAAUCUUACUGGAUACAAUAAACUAGCACCAAG
rnacentral:lncRNA from 1 species